AACUCCCGAAAACCCCAUGUGAACAUACCCGUACGUUGCCUCGGCGGUCCCCCCCCGGGGGGCCCGCCGGCGGCCCCGAAACGAACCCUGUGAUAGAACUGAAUCUCUGAGCUUGUAUAAUAAAUUGAGUCAAAACUUUCAACAACGGAUCUCUUGGUUCUGGCAUCGAUGAAGAACGCAGCGAAAUGCGAUAAGUAAUGUGAAUUGCAGAAUUCAGUGAAUCAUCGAAUCUUUGAACGCACAUUGCGCCCGCCGGUAUUCUGGCGGGCAUGCCUGUUCGAGCGUCAUUUCAACCCCUUAAGCCCCUGUUGCUUAGCGUUGGGAGCCUACGGCCCGCCGUAGCUCCUCAAAGUCAGUGGCGGAGCCGGCCCCCCACCCCAGGCGUAGUAGUUCAUUCAAGCUCGCCCGCGGUAGGACCGGUCCCCUGCCGUAAAACACCCCAGUUUCUCGCAAGGUUGACCUCGGAUCAG
rnacentral:rRNA from 1 species